AGAGUUUGAUCAUGGCUCAGGACGAACGCUGGCGGCGUGCCUAACACAUGCAAGUCGAGCGAAGUAUAUCUAAGUGAAGUUUUCGGACAGAACGAAGAUAUAUCUUAGCAGCGGACGGGUGAGUAACGCGUGAGCAACCUGCCUUUCACAAAGGGAUAGCCUCGGGAAACUGGGAUUAAUACCAUAUAAAACUUACCUUUCGCAUGAAAGGAAAGUCAAAGCGAUAAGCGGUGAAAGAUGGGCUCGCGUCCUAUUAGCUAGUUGGUGAGGUAACGGCUCACCAAGGCGACGAUAGGUAGCCGGCCUGAGAGGGUGAACGGCCACACUGGAACUGAGACACGGUCCAGACUCCUACGGGAGGCAGCAGUGGGGGAUAUUGCACAAUGGAGGAAACUCUGAUGCAGCGACGCCGCGUGAGUGAAGAAGGCCUUCGGGUCGUAAAGCUCUGUCCUAGGGGAAGAUAAUGACGGUACCCUAGGAGGAAGCCCCGGCUAACUACGUGCCAGCAGCCGCGGUAAUACGUAGGGGGCGAGCGUUGUCCGGAAUUACUGGGCGUAAAGAGUUCGUAGGCGGUUUGAUAAGUCAGAUGUGAAAGGCGUAGGCUUAACCUAUGUAAGCAUAUGAAACUGUCAGACUUGAGGUAAGGAGAGGAAAGUGGAAUUCCUAGUGUAGCGGUGAAAUGCGUAGAUAUUAGGAGGAAUACCAGUGGCGAAGGCGACUUUCUGGACUUAAACUGACGCUGAGGAACGAAAGCGUGGGGAGCAAACAGGAUUAGAUACCCUGUAGUCCACGCCGUAAACGAUGAGUGCUAGGUGUCGGGUAGAAAUAUUCGGUGCCGCAGCUAACGCAAUAAGCACUCCGCCUGGGGAGUACGUACGCAAGUAUGAAACUCAAAUGAAUUGACGG
rnacentral:rRNA from 1 species